rnacentral:rRNA from 1 species
UGGGGAAUAUUGCACAAUGGGCGCAAGCCUGAUGCAGCAACGCCGCGUGAGGGACGACGGCCUUCGGGUUGUAAACCUCUUUUAGUAGGGAAGAAGCGAAAGUGACGGUACCUGCAGAAAAAGCACCGGCUAACUACGUGCCAGCAGCCGCGGUAAUACGUAGGGUGCGAGCGUUGUCCGGAAUUAUUGGGCGUAAAGAGCUCGUAGGCGGUCUGUCGCGUCUGCUGUGAAAAUCCCGAGGCUCAACCUCGGGCCUGCAGUGGGUACGGGCAGACUAGAGUGCGGUAGGGGAGAAUGGAAUUCCUGGUGUAGCGGUGGAAUGCGCAGAUAUCAGGAGGAACACCGAUGGCGAAGGCAGUUCUCUGGGCCGUAACUGACGCUGAGGAGCGAAAGCGUGGGGAGCGAACAGGAUUAGAUACCCUGGUAGUCCACGCCGUAAACGUUGGGCGCUAGAUGUGGGGCACCAUUCCACGGUUUCCGUGUC